rnacentral:rRNA from 1 species
GACGAACGCUGGCGGCGUGCUUAACACAUGCAAGUCGAACGGAAAGGCCCUGCUUUUGCGGGGUGCUCGAGUGGCGAACGGGUGAGUAACACGUGAGUAACCUGCCCUUGACUUUGGGAUAACUUCAGGAAACUGGGGCUAAUAUCGGAUAGGAGCUCCUGCUGCACGGUGGGGGUUGGAAAGUUUCGGCGGUUGGGGAUGGACUCGCGGCUUAUCAGCUUGUUGGUGAGGUAGUGGCUUACCAAGGCUUUGACGGAUAGCCGGCCUGAGAGGGUGACCGGCCACAUUGGGACUGAGAUACGGCCCAGACUCGUACGGGAGGCAGCAGUGGGGAAUAUUGCGCAAUGGGCGGAAGCCUGAUGCGGCGACGCCGCGUGCGGAAUGACGGCCUUCGGGUUAUAAACCGCUUUCGCCUGUGACGAGGCGUGAGUGACGGUAAUGGGUAAGAAAGCACCGGCUAACUACGUG